rnacentral:rRNA from 1 species
AUGUAUGAGGAGGAGGAGGCCACGGACCCAUGGUCAUGGCGGUGCGACGGAGUUCGUACCCGGCCGGCGCGGCACCAGGCUGCGAAGGAGAGAGUUAGAGGAAAUAGGAGAGGUAGGCCCGACAACAGAUGGGAGAGGGUCACCGGCCGGCGUCGGCCUGUGCCGGCGAGGUUGCUCGCCUUGUUGCGCAGGAGGGAAAGGCAACGGGACCAGCAUCCGGGGCGGUGGCGGUGGCUGGCCGAGGUGGUUCUCGCCAAAGAAGCAGGUGGCAGUGCAAGGCAGCACGGCGCAGCAAGCAUGAGCUGCUUGAGAGUGCGGCUGGCAAGGCAGGAAAGGGAAAAAGCUUUUGUGGUGAUCGGGAUCAAUACCUCCUUCAGUAGCAAGAAGUGA